rnacentral:ribozyme from 1 species
UACAAAAAUCAAAAAUAGUCCUGGAAAAGUUGUAUCUUCAGCUGUUUAUUCCUUAUUUUUCUCUUUCACCUCUUCAACUCUUCUUUCUUCUUUGCUUCCAAUUCUCUGU